rnacentral:lncRNA from 1 species
CAGAAGCUCAACAUUUAUAUCAGUCGAUUUUGCCUGAUAUGGUGAAAAUUGCACUCUGUUUGCCAAAUAUUUGCACCCAGGUUAGUAGAAAUAACUUUUUCCCCAGUAGCUUUCUUGAGACUCACAACUGAAUUUCUUUUAAACUGUAAUGGUCAGGGUCAAAGAGAGAGAAGAGAGAGAUAGGAAACAGUUUGUGUCAAAGAGUAUGAGGAGUUUGCUAUACUGAAGAACGGGUUAGAGGCUAGAGGGAAUGCUGCAAAAGGACAUUAAAAAUGCAGCAUUCAAUUUCUGAGCUUCAGUUUACUCUGUUGAUAUUUGCUUACUUAGACUUCCUAUUUUCUUUUUGUUUAAACAGUCUCUAACUUAAAAAGAGGUCAUUAUCCCAAAACAUACUAAUGGAUUUAGAACAAUUCAAGUUUAUUUAUUUAUUUUGAGAGAAAGACAGAGAGCUGGCAAGCAGGGGAGGGGCAGAGAAAGGGGGAGACACAGAAUCCCACACAGGUUCUGUGCUGUGAGUGCAGGGUCCAACACAGAAUCCAACACAGGGCUCCAAUCACAAACUGUGAGAUCAUGACUUGAGCCAAAAUCAAGAGUCGGACACUUAACUGACUCUUGAUUAAUACCAGAUUCUUUCUUUCAUUUUUAAAAGUUAGAAAGCACCAUGAGCUGGGCACCUGGGUGGCAGAGUUGGUUAAGUGUCUGACUUCGACUCAGGUUAUGACCCUGUGGUUCAUUGGUUCGAGCCCUGCAUCGGGCUCUGCUGACAGCUCAGAGCCUGGAGCCUGGUUUGGAGUCUGUGUCUCCCUCUCUUUCUGCCCCUCCCCACUCGUGCUCUGCUUUCUUUCUCUCAAAAAUACAUAAACAUUAAAAAAUAUCUUAAAAAAAAGAAAAAUCUCUGCUGUGAAAAUUAACAUUUCAGUUUGAUAUCAAAGUAUAUCUUUGGCAAAUUGAGCUGCAUAUGUUGUUAUUUAAUGACUUAUCACAUCAACAUUCUCUAGACCGAAUCUAAAAGGUAAAUUUUAGAUUUAUAAAAAGGAAAUUAAAGGAAACACAUUUUGGACAUGAACUUUUUGAAAAAUCUUGGUUCAUAUUAAACCACUCUUAUUUUUAUCUAGCUAAGCAUUUGAUAAUCAGAUUUACAUCUUCUAGGGUGCCUUGGUGGCUCAGUUGGUUAAGCACCCAACUCUUGAUCUCAGCUCAGGCAUUAAUAUCAGGGUGGUGAGUUCAAGCCCGGUUAUUGGGCUCCACACUGGGCAUGGAGCCUACUAAAAAAAAAAAAAAAAAAAAAAGAUUUACAUCCUUCAGUUUUCCCCAAGUAUGACUUUUUAGGAUUUCUCCUCUAAGAAAACAGAAAUCAGUUAUUCUAUCUAUUUAUUUAUUUAUUAAAAAAAAUUUUUUUUAAUGUUUAUUUCUGAGGCAGAGAGAGACAGAGCAUGAGUGGGGGAGGGGCAAAGAGAGAGGGAGACAGAAUCUGAACCAGGCUCCAGACUCUGAGCUGUCAGCACAGAGCCCAAUGUGGGGCUUGAACUCACAAACCAUGAGAUCAUGACCUGAGCUGAAGUCAGUCGCUCAACCAACUGAGCUACCCAGGUGCCCCAGUUAUUCUAUUUAAAAUCAUACUGUUGAUUAUUUUGGGGGUUAAGAAUGUUUGCAUUUAUCAUUCAUUAAGCCUAAAAUAUCACCAUUAAUUUUUAAACUCAUUUUUAUGGAUAACUUCAUAAAUAGUAGUUAAAAGCUCUUUUUUUAAAAAAAAAUAAUGUUUAUUUAUUUAGAGAGUGCUCACACAUGCACUGGGAGGAAGGGCUAAGAGAAAGGGAGACAGAGAAUCUUAAGCAGGCUGUGUGUUGUCAGCGCAGAGCUAGACAUGAGGCUCAGUCCCACAAACUGUGAGAUCAUGACCUGAGCCAAAAUCAAGAGUUGGACUUAACCAACUGAGCCACCCUUGCUCCCCUAAAAGCUCAUUUUUAGCUAAAACUAAGUAACAGUUUGCUUUAAAUCACUGAUACAUUGUCACCUUUUCUAAAAGCAUUUCUGAGUUGUAAAUAAAUGCAUAGGGUGGGAAAUGGAAAUCAAUAUGAGGUCUCUGUUUCUUCUUUCUUAGAAAUGGUAAUUGCUAAGGCCUAAAAGGAGAGAUUUUUGGAAACUAUAAUGAUUCUUUAGGUUUCCCUUGUUUGUUUACCUUUGUAUUUUCACAAGGGAAAUAGUUGAACUGCAAAUUUAACCUUUUCUUUUUCUAGGAAAGUUUUAGUCUAGCAUUGAUGUAUAUUUUCUGUUAGAAAAAAGUUGUUACAUCAUUGUACUUUUGAUUUGUCUUGCCUGCCUUUCCUGUGUUUCACUUUGGUGUUUGCUGAAAUAUGAUCAGGACAGUUGUCUAUGUAUAGUAUACUGGUUUGACAUGAAUGCACAUAUCCAGGAUUUUUAGUUCUGGGUCUUACUGAAAGGUAGAAAGAAAAGCAUCCUUAAAUAUCAUGCUGGAGCAUUUUAAAACUUAAAAACUGAUAUGUAUACUGGCAGUUGGUCUUUGGCGUUACUAUCAUAUCUUUAAAAACAUACAUUUUAAACAUUUAAAGUAGAAUAAAACCCACUGAACACAAUACUUAGGUCCUGUGAAUUUACUGAAAAGAAAAGAUUAGUGAAUUUGGGUUUGGGACAACUAGAAGACGUUUCAGUCAUAAAAAAUUUGAAGGAAAAAUGUCCUGUAUCUUCCUUGACUUAAAAUGAUUAUAAAGGAAAUACCUAUCUUCUUACACAUUAUACAUAUGUGUGUAUACACAUGUCCUAUUAAUUGCUUUAAUAAAAUUAGAUUUAGGUCUCAAAGAAAUUGUCAAAGUGAAGUGUGAUUCAGAAUUGGAAGGAAAAGACUUAUUUAUUGAAUUAUUUUCCUUAGCAUCAUUUUAUUUAGGACUACAAUAGAAAAAUUGCUCUGUCCAGCAAUGUUUAAUAUGAGUGAGAAUAAAAUUUAGCAUAUGCUAUAAUAGCUCCAUUCGGUGUUGCAAUUUCCCGUUUCAUCUUUUGUUUUAAUUUUUCAUUACAUGGAUAAUGUGUAUUUAUUUCUUACUUGCUAAAACAAUCUUGUUUUCCACUAAUAAGUAAUGUUUUGUGUUCUCUUCACUAUCAUCAUUAUUGAUUAGAAAUCUGCAGUUUGUCAAACAAGUACACUUUUCCAAUCAUCCUUGAUGAACUGCCCUUGACUUCAACAGUGUUGCUGAUUUAAGAACUCAAGAGUGGCCUGAAAUUAUUCCUGCCUUAAUUUAGCAAAUGCAAUUUGGUGCCUCUGCUUUUGAAAUUGCUAAACUAAUUAUGGCUCUUCUUGUCUGUAUAUUUUGUUUCCUCUAUCAGCCAAUACCGCUCCUGAAACAGAAGAUGAAUCAUUCCAUCACAAUGUCACAGGAACAGAUUGCCAGUCUUUUAGCUAAUGCUUUCUUCUGCACAUUUCCACGGCGAAAUGCUAAGAUGAAAUCCGAGUAUUCUAGCUACCCAGACAUUAACUUCAAUCGGUAUGUUUUCAGAGAACACCUCUUAAACAGUGAAAUAGAGAAGGGUAGAAAGAACUAAUAUUUGUCCAGUGAUUUGCCAUAGACCAAACAUUUUAUGUCCAAUUAUCUAAUUUAAUCUUUAUAAUGCAGUGAGUUAAGUGGUAUUUUUGCCAUUUUGUAGGCAAGAUCAUUAAAGUUCAAUGAAAAUCUUUGUUAUUAUAUAGUUACUCUCCAUUAUCAACACUAGAAAGGAAUGGGGAAACAAUGAAAAACAAUGUCAUUUGUAUAAGAAAACUUAUUUAAAAUUCCAAUAAGAGAUACCCAUUUUAUACCAUAUUCUCUUUGUGUAAAUGCCAAUUGUGAGGGACAUGUUGUUAACCUAGUUUUGAGUCAGUACGUUAGCUAAGUUUGUUUUAAGAGAAUAGUAUUUAGUCAUUUAGUUCAAAUAUACAGUAAGCAAUUUCAGUAUUCUUCUUAGUGUGUUAAGUGCCUUACAAGAGAAAGGACAAACCAGUUUCUGACUUCUGUGUCUUUCCACGAGGCUUUUAUUCCUUCUUCGAGCAUCAGUUCAAGUAUCACUGUUUCUGAUAGCUCUGAUCUUGCCAGGAUAGGUUUGCUAUUCCCCUGGGUUCAUAUGAUGGUCUAUAUGUACCCCUGUUCUAUAAAAAAGAGGUACAUAGCAUUAUAAUACUCUAUUAUAGAAGGAUAUCGUUUGACAAAGGUUAAUAUACUUUAAUAAUAGUUUAAUAUAGUUUAGUAAAAUUUUUUCUUGAGGAAAUAACUUUUGAACUAAGUACAAAGGGUGAGUAGGGGUUUUUACCAAGGAGGAAAGGAGAGAUGAUUACAUUCUGGGUGAGGGGUACAGCAUGUUCAAAGGGGCACUGUGAUGAGAAGGACAUGACAUGCCCAGAGCCUGAGAGAAGACCAGUGCGGCUGCAGCACAGAGAGAGGACAGACUGCAGGGGAUAGGGGCCAGUAGGCCAUCCUACUGUGCCUUCAAGGCCCUCCUAAGGUAAUAAAAAGUCAUUAAAGGAUUUGGUAUGGGAGGAGGGGGAGGCUGAUGCACCUGAUCAGAUUUACAUUUUCAAAAGUUUGUUCUGAUUACAAUGUGGGUACUGAGUGGAGAGGGGCCGAAGUACAGUGAGUUUACCCAGCUGGAGAGGCUAUUGCGAUGCACUAGGAAGGAGAGGUUGAUAGCUGGGAUAGUGUAGCAGUGGGGGUAGAGGUGUGAUGACAUUUGAAGAACAAGUCAGUGUGAUGGUGACAAACUGUGAGUGGGUGAAGAGAGGCAUCCAGGGUUCUUCUGGGUUUGUACAACUGGGCAUGUGCCUUUUGUGUUCUCUACUUUUCCUGCUGUACCACCUACCCUACUUCUUUAUAAUUGCUUGUUUAAUCCUUUCAGUGGGAUCUGAAUCUUUCAUUAAAUUUCAUGCAUUGUAGGCCUUCAGUAAAUCCACAUUGAGUGAAUGAAAAUAAAAUUUAUAGAUGAAAUGUUUGAGAAAUUGACUGGUUAGUGGAAGAGUGUUAGGACUAAAACUAGAUCCUUCAUUCUUAAUCUAUUGUCUUUUACGUUUCAAACUUCAUCUUUAGCAAUUAGGAGAUAUUUUAUUUUUAAGCCAUAUAUAGUUCAAGUUUUUGCCUUUGAUUUCUUUAGCAUUUGGGAUAGAAUUGAGAGAAAACACAGCAUUGGUAUCUGCAAUUGCAAUUGUGUAAAGAACCUGUUUAUUAAAUAUAAUUUUUUUUUGCUUAUUUGAGAAAUUGUUAAAGAAUUUUUUCUACUCACUUGUAGUUAAGGGCUAUGCAUCUCUUGCAGAUUUUCCUUUUUAAUACAGAAAAGGAAAUGGACAAAUUUGGUAUGUAAGUAAACAAUGGAAAUUUAAUUCUGUAGAAAUGUAAUUAUCUGUUUCCAUGAAGAGUAUUAGUUAUAUUUAUAAAUCUCCAUACAGUAAGUAGUCUCUCUGUUUAUUUGGAAUAAAUGUUUGAUUAGCUCCAGGAUCACCAGGGAUGCUGUAAAUUAUUCAAAUUUCUAUCCAAAAUUCUGAAGACCGAUCCAGUGGUUUUGUGUUUUUCUGAUUUUUGAUUUUGGUAAGAAGUAGGUCUAGUUAAUAAUGCUUUAGAGUUAGUGUUUCCAUAGCCACUUAUAGUUUGUUUCCACAGGAUGAGUAGUCAGCUAGUACAUGUUUCUUGAUUGUCCCUCAGAUAAACCUUUGAUAUCUUAGUUAUAAGCUUUCUCAGAUUGAUUCUUUGACCUAAUUAUAUACCUUUUAAAUUUAUUUUUUAGAUAAGAGCUAUGCAUUCUCUUCCUAAGUUAAGGUUCUUUCAGAGAGACUCUUCUCCAAAAAAGUUAUUUUGAAGAUCUGUUACAGAUAUUUUCAAACAUGCUAAAAAAUAAAGAGAACAGUAUCAUGACCCCAUGUUUACUUACCCAAGUUUGGUACUAACCAGAAUUUUUUAUUUUGCUCCGUUUUCACCUAUCCAACCCCACUUUAUAUAUAUAUGUGUGUGUGUGUGUGUGUGUGUAUAACCAAAUUUCAGAUGUUAAGUUUCACCCAUAAAGAAUUCAGUAUUUAGGGGCACCUGGCUGGUUUAAUUGGUAGAGCAUGCAACUCUUGAUCUCAUGGUCAUGAGUUUGAGCCCCAUGUUGGGCAUAGAGUUUACUUAAAAAAAAAAAAAAAAAAGAGUUAGUAUUUAAACUAUUCACAGAUAAUGUUAGUCCUGUAUCAUGGUUAAAUGUUUAUAGCCCUUUCCUCUUUAAGAGCUUUAAGCUCUCUGUGGAUGACUACAAAUACACAUUCCUCAUCAGGUAAAACAAGAAAAAGCACAGAAAGAGAGCAGAAGAUUAAGCAUGAUUUCAAUUAGCAAUUGUAGGCUUUCACAAGGAAUGAAAAGUUACGUAUAGAAUAUGAUCUCAAUUAUGUUAAAAUACCUGUAUCUGUUAACAUACCUCUGUGUUCACAUCAGUACAUGUAUAAGCAUGGAAAGUAGACUGACAAGAAAAUGAAUUAAAGUAUGAUUCCCGUUGGGUAGUGAGAGAAACACAUUUAAUGCUUUUACUUCAUCCUUUACUAUAUUUUAAAAAUUGUUUUUAACAAGAAUAUAUUACUUUUAUAAUCAGAAGAAAAAUAGUUACAAGUCAAUCAUCAGACAAAGUUAAUGAAAAGAAUGGGUGAUUUUUGUACUUUGAUUUUGAGGUUGGAAGCCCACAGAUUUUUUGAGCCUUUCCCAAACAGCUAAUGUGGGUAGCUUCUUCCUUCCCUUCUAUAACCCCAUAGAUAGGGUAUCAUAACCCCCCUUCACCCUCACUGUACAGUCAGCGUGUGAAAGAAGCACAAGUCCACAGGGCCCUCUGAGGGCUGGGCACCUGCUACACUAGCAGCCUUCUUUUCUCAACAGUAAUGUGGACCUCAGGUUUGGAACGACUGACAGAAGUCAAGAAGUCUUGGGAAGCUUUGGCUUUUGUGACAUCCCAUUUCCUGCCGCUAUUACCAGAAUUUAUAUCAAUUUUAAUACACGUUUUAAUUUUAAAGCAUCAUUGCUUUUCAGCUAAACUUCUGACAGGAGGAUGCUGGAACGUCUUGGCAAAGGCGUGUUUAUCUUUUUCAUUGUGCAUGGGCAUUUUUCCUGAAGGCUGAGCUGGUUGGCUCUGAGUGUCAGCUUGUUAGGCUUGAUGGAAAAAGAGGCUGAGGAGUUUUUCUUAAUGAAGGGAAUAUAGAUUUGAACAAUAUAAGCAUUUUAUGUAAAUGAGUGGAUUUUUUUUUUUUGCUGGGCAUUACAUAAUGUCCUAUUUCAUCUCAAGUAUCUCUGCUUACUCAGCACUAUCUGGAUUUUUUUUUUUUUUUUUUUGCAUGAGAAUAAUUCUUUUUUUAUUGUUCACACACGCAAGUACGAGUGGGGAGGGGCAGAGAGAGAGGGAGACACAGAAUCUGAAGCAGGCUCCAUGCUGUCAGCACAGAGCCCGAUCCGGGGCUCGAACCCCUGAACUGUGAGAUCAAGACCUGAGCUGAAUUGGAUGCUUAACUGAGCCCCAAUUUCUUAAUAACAAUACCUGAUAUUUAUUAAGUACUUGCUAUGUGUUAAUCACCUUGCUGUUAUUUUUUACUUGAUGCAUCCGUUUUAUAAAUUAGGUAUUGUUUUCUCAUUUUUCCCAUGAGGAGAUGGAGGCUUAGAGAGAGGGUAGGAUUACUUCAUCAAGUUAACUGGUACAAUUGGGAUUCAAACUCAAGAUAAAGUUGGCUUCGAGAAGCUGUCUCAUAACCUUUUGUGCUAUCCAGCCUCCCUUUGAAUGAACCAGAUUAAUACUUCUUAACUCAUAGCUAAUCAGAAACUAGAACUACCCUUAGAAAUAAUCCUUGGUCUGUAAAAUGAACCAAAACUAUUCAUCAGUCCAGAGUGAGAUCAUGAGGGAUUUAAACUUAUGGUAUCCCAAUAGUAUUUUCAGAAAAUGAGAGUUUAAUCCAUUGGAGAUUUGAAACCAGGCAUAUUCUUGUCUUCUGGCUGAUAGAUGUUCUUUUGAUCACCAGAAUGUUGGGCAGGUAAAGCCUGUGGUAGUUUCCACAAUUGUUUUAUAAGUCUUUAUUUUUUUAUUAUUUAUUUAUUUAAUUUGUUUUUUCAGUAUAUGAAAUUUAUUGUCAAAUUGGUUUCCAUACAACACCCAGUGCUCAUCCCAAAAGGUGCCCUCCUCAAUACCCAUCACCCACCCUCCCCUCCCUCCCACCCCCCAUCAACCCUCAGUUUGUUCUCAGUUUUUAAGAGUCUCUUAUGCUUUGGCUCUCUCCCACUCUAACCUCUUUUUUUUUUUCCCCUUCCCCUCCCCCAUGGGUUUCUGUUAAGUUUCUCAGGAUUCACAUAAGAGUGAAAACAUAUGAUAUCUGUCUUUCUCUGUAUGGCUUAACCACAAUUGUUUUAAGGAGUCCUGGCAGCACCUGGCUCUCACUGAGAUGGUAUGUGUUUAAUAAGCCUAAACUAGCAAAAAGCAGGAAUGAUGACUAUACAUGAUCAUUGAUGCUGUCUGUUGAUAGCUUACUUUGAUUCUAUCUGUGGAAGUUUCUAGGUAGGGAACCUUCUAUACUAAUAGGUUCAGUGAAAGUAAGUGACUUGUCAGCAGAACAAGCAGGACGCUGUCUUCCAUCAGACUCCAUGCUCUUUUCGUUAUGUCUUGCUUCUUCUCGAGCAAAAUGCUCUGAGUGUGCUCCAGAGAUGGAAAACAACCAAAAGUUCCCCUUUUUCAUGUGACUUAUGAAAGAUCAAGUACCUAAUUUGAUGAGCCAUUUGGUAAGCUGAUUAUGGAGCAUUUUGUUGUGGUGGUGUUUUCUUUUUGGCCUAGUUGCUAUUUAUGAUUAUAGUUUCUGGCAGUUGGGAGUUGUGUGUGUGUGAGUGUAUUUAGCCUCAAAAGAGCUAUGGCUAGCUAGUUGAUUGAAUAAGAAAAAUGGUUAAGAGUAUGUGGUAGGAGGCUGAUGUCAAUAAAUUGAAUAAGUCUUCCUGUUUUUAUUUAUUGUUGUGUUCUUCCAGCCCUGCUUAGUUAUGUUAAAUACCCCUGACCUUUUCCCCUGCUUGCCUUUCAGGGCCUAAACAUUCAUAUAAAGGCUUCCAAUGUGAUUAGCAUUGAUGCUUCUGAGAUUGCUUAGAAACUGAUGGUCAGAGAUUAAUUGUGGGUUGCAGCAGUGAUCAGCCCAGGAGGCUUUUACAUCUUCCUCUUCCCUGGAUUGAAAGUGCUUCUGGGGCCAUAUGGCAGAGUGCUUCACAGAAAAACCAAGAAUGACUUUGUGGCUGGGUUCCAGGUUAUUAUUUGCAUCCAUUUUAAAGUGGAAGUUAUAGUGCUUUGGGUUUGAUUUACUGUGUGCUAAUGGGAUUAAUCCUUAACUCGAAAUCACAUGGGUCUGUGCGUGUGUGUGUCUAGAAUCCAAUUCCAGUAAUGUUAUCAAUAUUCUAUUCAGAGAAAGAUUUUAUUGAACUAUGAUUUUCCUUAUAUGUAUGGAAAGAAAAACAAUAGUUAAUAAGUAUCUGACCCUCGAUUGACUUAUUUCCUUGAAAAUAAAAAGUUUUGUUUAUAACAAAAAGUGAGGUUGCCUGACUGGCUUUUUCUGUAUGCUUAUUUUAUUUUAUUUUAAUUUUUUUUAAGUAGGCUUCAUGCCCAGCAUGGAGCCCAACAUGGGGCUUGAACUCACAACCCUGAGAUCAAGACCUGAGCUGAGAUCAAGAGUCAGACACUUAACCACUGAGCCACCCAGGCUCCCCUGCUUGCUUUUUUAAAUACUCUCUAAUUACCACUCAGUUAAAUGUCAAAAUGUCCUCCUUACAUGUAGAGGGGUUAUUGUGGUCUAGUUUAUGUGCAUGUUCAUAUGCAUGCCUCCUGGCUCAAAAUAGGCCUUCAAAUAUACACACCCAGGACUUGGAAACCUAAAAAAAGAAAUUGGUGUUGAGAAGUUAAAAAAAUCUAAAAGUGCUUGAUUAUUAUAAGAAGGUCUUCAUUCUCUCUGAGUCUCUCUCUCUCUGUGGGUGCCUUUUCUCUCUGGUGCCUUUUCUCUCUGGUGCAUUUCUGUCUCUCAUUCUUGUGACUUUUGCUUAUGUUGUUUGUCAUUGUUUUUAUGUUAUUUUCACUUGCUUUCAUACCAGGAUAAUUCAUUUUAUUUGGGUGUCUAUGCAUAGUUCUUUCAGACUUCCCUGUUGUGGAAUUUUAGACUUCAUGCAAGGGUUUUAAACUUAUUUCAUCUUUCCUGACUUCCUACCUCCUUCUUGUCUCUCAUUCCUUCCAUGUCACAUGGCACUUCAUGUUCCAUCCAGAUAUUUGGUUACAGAGUGAUUUGAAAUUAGGCUUGGAACAACAAAUAAACAGAAUACAUUGAGAUUCUCUUUGAUUUUGUACCUUUAAGGUUAGGACCUGCAAAAUAAACAAUAGUGCUUGGGGCGCCUGGGUGACGUAGUUGGUUAAGUGUCCGACUUCGGCUCAGGUCAUGAUCUCACGUUUGUGAGUUUAAGCCCCAUGCCAGGCUCUGUGCUGACAGCUUAAAGCCUGGAGCCUUCUUUGGAUUCUGUGUCUCUGUCUCUCCCCUGCUUGUGCCCUGUCUCUUUCUCUCUCUUAGUUCAAAGCCUGGAGCCUCCUGCAGAUUCUGUGUCUCUGUCUCUCCCCUGCUCGUGCCAUGUCUCUCUCUCUCUCUCCCUCUCUCUCUCUCUCUCUCUCAAAAUAAAUAAACAUUAAAAAAAAAUAAUAAGCAGGGGCGCCUGGGUGGCUCAGUCGGUUAAGCAUCCGACUUCAGCUCAGGUCAUGAUCUCACGGUUUGUGAGUUCGAGCCCCGCGUCGGGCUCUGUGCUGACAGCUCGGAGCCUGGACCCUGCUUCCGAUUCUGUGUCUCCCUCCCUCUCUGCUCCUCCCCGCUCAUACUCUGUCUCUCUCUCAAAAAUAAAUAAACAUUAAAAAAAAUAUAAACAGUGGUGCUCAUUUGUAGUAGGUGAUAAUGACUGCCAUACAAUCUUCCAGGAAAGUCAGUAUUGCUAGGGUAGUAAAUCUAUAGUCCCAAGAGUCUCUUAGAGUUAUUAAUUUGUCAUUGUGGUUAUGAAAUAUGUGAACUUCUAUGCAAUUUUAUAAACAACUGACCACAAAUAGAAGCAAGGGACCCUUUUUUAUGUUUGGGGGAAUUAUUUCUUAAGGACAACAGCUAUUUUCUCCUUACUACACAAUAGUUCUGUGGAAUUGGAACUUUUUUUACUUUAAUUGAAUCACAUAGUGCAUCAGUUCAUCUCUAAGAAUAGAUGGUGGCUGCCUUUGUAUUCAUACUGUUUCCCUCUACUAAGUAGUAAACCUAGAAAGGGAUUUUGCAAUGGUUCCCAAGAUAUUCAUUUAGUAAAUCACAUUUAUUUGAUAUUGGAUGUUUAAUUAAACUGCCAAGUGGCUUCUUCAUUUUGACUAUCAUUUUGAUUUAAAUAAACUCUAUCCUGGUUGACAACAUUGCAUAAGAAACCAAGCUGAAAUCUGCUCUCUCAAAGAUCCUUUCUUUCAGCAGGCAACUGGAUUUUAAGAGUAUUUGUAAUAAACAUUUUAGAAAAGUAUGUUCUUUCAAAUGAGUAAAAAUGAUCAUAUAGGCUCUCUUAAACUAUUUUUAAAAAUCAGCUCAAUUUGGGGCGCCUGGGUGGCGCAGUCGGUUAAACGUCCGACUUCAGCCAGGUCACGAUCUCGCGGUCCGUGAGUUCGAGCCCCGCGUCGGGCUCUGGGCUGAUGGCUCAGAGCCUGGAGCCUGUUUCCGAUUCUGUGUCUCCCUCUCUCUCUGCCCCUCCCCCGUUCAUGCUCUGUCUCUCUCUGUCCCAAAAAUAAAUAAACGUUGAAAAAAAAAAUUUUAAAAAUCAGCUCAAUUUUAUUGUACUUUAUUUUUUGAAUUAGUUCACUUUUAAAUUUAGUUAAAAUACUUUUCUGAUGUUAGUAUUCUUUGCAGGAAAUAAAUAUUCACAUAAAUUGUUUUCUCAGAAAUUUGACCCUGAAUACAGAAUUUCAGGUCAUUGAAAACAGGAUCAUUUGAAAUCUACAUUUCCUUCCCUUUUCCUAAUUUAUUUCAGUUGCUCAAUAGGAUUUUCUCAUGGAAUUAACUUUUCCCUCUCUGCAUAGUUACAUAAGCCUGCUUUCCUAAUCAUGAAAAAUUUCACCCGUUUCGGCACUUAUUAAAGUGAACUUUUACUUGAAGCGUUUCUGGUUGUAAAGCCAGAGUAUAUGACUAGAGGCAGAUAAAUAAUAACUCAUCAUUUAUAGCUCAGAAUUGCUUUAUAAUUUUUAAAUGCCUUUGGAAAGCUUGAUCUUAUGCCCAAAAGCAUGCUUUUGUGUUUGAAAUCCUUUAGUGAACUACUUAUUCAGGUCAUAUGCUUCCAAAGCCCUGCUUUUCUUUCCUCGGGAUAAAUUGCAUUAUGUGUUACCAUUAACAAUGCCACAUCAUUUCAAAGGAAACUAAAUUAAGUAGUGCAAGUCCAGGUUACUGGAAACUAGAUGAGUAGGCACUGUUUUGGUCACUAUGCAAAGGGUAUAUCUGUUUAAUUACCAAAGAUUGUCAGGCCAAAUACUUUGUCAUGCCUGCUUGUCAUUACUGUCACCACCCACUGCCCUCCCUCCCUGAAUACAAUCCUUUGGAUUUUUUUUCAGGUACCAUUUUUGUUCAGUCAUUUAACUACCUAGCAAUAUUGUGAGUUAUUAGUGUUUGCCAUUGGGAAAAUAAGCAUUUACUCACUGGCCUAAUUGACUUUGGGGGACCAGAUGGUGCCUUCUCCCUGGAGAAGGACAGAUUGGAGAAAUGUGGUUGUUAGAGAGUGCCAUCUGACUUAAACAACUUUUAAGAAGCCUAGUUCUAGUUGAUUUUUGUCUUUUCCAGAUGCUGUUCUAAUCCAGUUUUCCAGUUUUCUGUCAUUACAGAAUUGCCUUCCUUUACUUAGUAGCAAUGUAGAUGUAGUUUUGUGGGUCAUUAAGGUAUUUAUUUAUUUAUUUAUAUUUAUAUUUUCAUUAAGACAUUUUAAACCACCCUUUUUUAUUUUCUUUAUUUUUGAUCUCUUUCAGGUUGUUUGAAGGACGUUCAUCAAGGAAACCAGAGAAACUUAAGACACUCUUCUGCUAUUUUAGAAGAGUCACAGAGAAAAGUAAAUUUCUUUCAUUCUUAAUAUAAUUUUUAUCACUGAUGGGGACAGUUCAGAUUGAGUGACAGGUCAGAAACAUUUGUGUUCAAAGUACACCUUCCUGCCCAGACCAAAUAAUUCAAUAUUAUAAUUCAGAUUUUAUGUGUAUGCUAUGUAUGUACAUUAAAUGUGUGCUAUGAAUAUGUGUGACUUUUAUAUACUCUGAAAUUAGAACAGUGGAACAUACUUUAAUAAGUUUUCAUGAAUUAAAAACAGUAAAUUAGUACUUUGAAAAGAAAAUAUGUUGACCAAAAAAUAUAUUUCGAGUGUCCUUCCUUCCUUCCUUCCUUCCUUCCUUCCUUCCUUCCUUCCUUCCUUCCAAGUUUAUUUAUUUUGAGAGAGAGAGCGAGUGAGUGUAUGCUUGCACGCCCAAGUGGGGAAGGGGCAGAAAGAGGAAGAGAGAGAAUCCCAAGCAGACUCUGUGCUGUCAUUGCAGAGCCCAAUGAUGAGGGGCUCAAUCCCAGGGCCAUGAGAUCAUGACCUGAGCCGAAAUCAAGAGCCAGAUGCUCAACCGACUGAGUCACCCAGGCACCCCAGGUGUUCUUUAUUUAAAGAAGCAUUGACUAUUAACAAUUAGUUUAUUUGCAGAGGACAGCCAAUUUGUUGCCUGCUUACUCAUCCCUCUCUUUUGUGGCCCCUUUACACACUGUAGAAUUCUUAUAAAAUUCUUAUAUUGUACUUAGUGUUUACAUGUUUGUCUUUUUCUGUUGGACCCUGACAAUCUUGUUUUCCCAGAUACUAAUUGUGACACCUGAGGCAGUAGUGGUAAAUGUAUAACCAGUGCUGGUAGCGACCAGCUAAUAAUAGAUUGGUAUUGGCACUCUUACCCUAGGAGCUGGGUGACCCAGACAAGUUUCUUAACACCUCUAAGCCUUAGUUUCCUGACCUCUAAAAUCAAAGAAUAAUGAUAAUUACCUCAUAAGGUAGUUGUAAAUAUUAAAUGAGAAGUUAUAUGCUUAAUAAUAAAUGUUAGCUAUUAUCAGUGAGUGGCCUUUUCUAAAAGUUGAUUAUAAGAGAAACCAGAGCAUCCCAAAGUUUGCUUUUGUUAUGUAGAGAAAGUCAACUCUGGUCAAGUGAAAUGAGUUCUUUUCAGUUCCGGCCAUUCAGUUGUUGGUUUGCCUUAAAGCACAUCAUUGAAUCAUUUUAAGGUCAAUAUUCUCAUAUUCUUCCUUUAGUAUGUAAUCUCACAUUAUAGUAUACUCGGCAUUUUUUUCUUUUUGAAGGUAUUGCUGUUGAACAUUGUUCAGAUUUUUGGAAAUAAAUCAGUUAUCAGGAUUUUGGUUUUUAAGGAAAAAAAUCAUGCUUCUUUGGAGAGUUAUCUAUUUCUUAUUUUUAGUUUUGUUCAUUAUACUGAAUAAAAUAAUUAAGGAAAUGAAGGGCUCAUUUGUGUUUGUGAGACAUAAAGCCAAAUUAGAAUUUGUAAUAAUUUUUUGGAAAGAUGAGUAUAUUUUUGCUAUUAUAAAUUUACUGUGCUAAACAGAAUGAAUUCCAUUAUUAUACCUAAGUAAUUCAGAGUUUACUUUUCUGUCCUUGGAGUCAAAUUAUGUAUAUCUUCUCUAGACACUAACUUGUCUAAGUUUUAGGAUUUUAUUUAUUUGAGGGAAAAAGCUAAAAUUCUGUUUUUUCAACUAGAAAUUUAUAAACCAUCAUAAAUAUUAGGAAUUAGGCUGAAAAAAUAAAUUAUAAUUAGGCAUUUUAUUUUCUGGCUUUUUCAUUGUACAUGGUAAUUUAGUCUUUUGUAGAAAUGUAAUGAAACAUCUUACAAGUUUUUAGGAUGGAAAGCUACAGGCUUAAGGAGGAAGUAGUGGUAUAAAAGAGGUUUACAAGUUAAUGAUUACCUUAUAAAGAAGUUCUGAAGUCUACCGAAUAGAAACUAUAAAAACCUAUUUAAAGUACUGUAUUUCAUCAUAUCUAGGAUAUCGUAGAUGGUAAAAAGUGUCAUGUUAUGUACCACUAAGAAGGAAAAAACACUCAGGAUGGGCAGUCAUAGGAGACCUCUCUUACAAAGCUGAUACACCAAAGGUCUGUACCUUCAGUGUAAGGAUAGUUGAGAAAUGUACCUGGCUGUGCAAAAAGGAGACAACAAAGGAACUGCAAGUGCCAACCUUGGCACUGGCUAGAGAAAGGACAAAAAAAUCUCCCCUGAGAAUUUGAACCACAAGUCUCAAGUUUGGGGUCUGAAGUCAUAUUAUCAGUGUGAUCCACAAAAGCCUGCAACAGAGGACUUAAUUCAGAUCUAGAUCAGGUUGGUGUUGCUCCCAGAUGACUAAGAAGCAGAUGCACAUUUUCUCUGGAAAAAUUCAACUGUAAUCUAGACCAGUGGCAAAGGCUAGAUACGUUCCAUUAUGAAAGCUGUAUCCCAGUUUCAGAAGUUUAGUACAUGAAAAACAUGCGCCUUUUAGAAUUGAUAAAAUGUAAUUCCGUCAGGACCAACUUUUCAAUGUUGUCAGAUGUCUAUAUUUUAUUUAUUUAUUUAUUUAUUUAUUUAUUUAUUUAUUUAUUUAUUUAUUUAUUUUGAGAGAGAGAGGGUGUGUGUGUGCAGGAGGGGCAGAAGGAGAGAAGACAGAAUCCCAAGCAGGUUCCACAGUCAGCACAGAGCCUGAUGUGGGCUUGAUCUCACCACUCCGAGGUCACAACUUGAGCUGGUCUCAAGAGUCGGAUGCUCAACCGACUGAGCCACUCAGGUGCCACUAUAUUUUAUAUUUUAAUGGAGAUCUUGAGGUUUAAAGAUUUUCAAGGGCUUUCUGAAAUAAUUUCAAUAUAGUUUUGGAUAAAGUAUCUUAUAGAUGGAGUAUUUAAAAAUUGAGGAUUCACAUGCAGCAUAUAUUGUGAUUUUAUUAAGGGAAAUAUUUUAUUAAUCAAAGUAACCUAGCAUAAAAGUUACCUUUUUAUGGAAGAAAGGUAAAAAGAAUGCUCUCAAGGUAUUUCUGAUAUUAAUUAUAUCCAAGGAACCAUGUUCUUUUUUCUGGCUUUCCCAGCAAUAUUCAUUUAUGAAUUUCUCUUGGGAUCUCCUAAUAUAUCUGAAGGACAUUUAAUAUAUGAAGGAUUUUAAUAUGUGAAGGACAUUUAAUAUUCUUAUUUAUCUGCUAAUUUGCUGAAUGAUAAUACUGACAUUAGUUUCUUAUAAAUAGAAUUGCUUCUCUGGUGUUUGAAUUGUUUGAUCUCAUACUUAUGAGUUUUAAAUAUGCUAUCCAUUUGCCUUAGAGAAAUUACUUAAGGAAAUCUUAAGAAUAUUUUAUAACCCAUAUUAACAAAAUUCUGUUUUCUACAGUAACUACUCCAUAUGAUUUUUGAGUUGUUACUGCUUGUGACUGAGAGCAGAGAAAUGUGGAAUCAUACAGAGGAAUGAAAUGAUCGUCAAACUUUCAUUGGGCCUCUACCACCAUUAUCACUAAUAGUUCCUGACAUAUCUCUUUGCUUAAGAGCUUUUUUCUUUCUUGCUUUCUUUCUUUCUUUUUUUUUUUUAACAGAAGAAAACAGAAGUGGCCUGGCCUUUUUAGUUUGUUCUUCGAUUUGAAUCAAAUUACUUUUGGCCUGCUGAUUUAUUUGUUGUUUUUGCCACUAGUUUAAAAAAAAAAAAGUAAACUUAACAGAAAAGGAUCAUACUCCUUUACAUGUACUGCAUUUUGAUCCCCCUCCUAUCUAUCCCUCCUUGACAACUAUGUUGUCUUUCUUUUCUCUAACCUCUUAGAACAUAGCAAUUCCUCCUUCUAGUUAAGGUGCCUUGUAAGUAAAGCGAUUGCAUAUCAUCUAAACCCUGGAUUUAACCAUGUCAACUCCAAAGGGCAUGCCAACAAUUUGUUUUUUAAUCACAGGCAUUUUAUUUUAUUAUAAAAUGCAUAAAUGUGUAUACAUUCAUCAAUCUUCAGGUGUAGGAUCAAGACCUUUCUUUGAAAAGGAGUCUACAGAUUAAAAUUCAGUUUUGUCUUUAUUGUAUAAGCUACACCCAUUAAUGCACCUUUUUUUUCCAAUGAUUUUUCACAAGUAUAUUCAGUUUAGAAAACUUUACCAGUAAGUAUCAACUGUUGUGCUGUUGUUUGUGUAGUUUUGUUUUUCAGUAAGGAUUUUAUAAGCAAGAGUUCCUACUAUAAGGAUAAUAUUUUAAAUCGAUCUUCUGUUGUAUUCUAACACUAAGCUUGGUAUUUUCCGAUUAGUUUUACAACCAUUGUUAGAUCCAUUCUUUUACUGAAUGUAUAUAAUCUUUUCAAAAUCAAAACUUCUUUUGGGUGUGUUUUUCUUUUAUUGCUUUUGUAGAACCUACUGGCUUGGUGACAUUUACAAGACAGAGUCUUGAAGAUUUUCCAGAGUGGGAAAGGUAAUAGUAAUAAAAAUAAUCUGGGAAUCCUAGAAUUAGAAGGACUCUUUUACCAUGCAAGGAUUCUAUUUCACAACCUCAGGAAAAAUGGUUUCCCAACCUCUUAGUUGCCCUAGUGCUAGGGGAGUUUCGUAUCAUAAAUGAUCCAUUGAUAGCUCUCAUUGGUAGAAAGGCCAUGCUUUCUGAAUCAAGGCCUGCAAGCCUUUGACUUCUACUGUUUGCCUUAGUGGAUUUUUUUGUUUUUGUUUUUGUUUUUAUUUUUGUUUUCUGAAGCAAAAUCUUAUUUAGAAUUAAGGAGUUUGUGUGUGAAGACACUAAUAUUAACUAGAACAACCAAUAUAUAAUGUUCAGUCUUACCUUCUCUUUUGGUUAGUAUAUAUGUAUUUUAUGGCUUUUCAUUCUGGAGGACAAGAUGUUGGAAAAUUUUUUCAUUAAACUAAAAUGUAAAUAGUAAUUACUUAGAAUUUGUCUCAGUGACAAGAAUUUUGAAGUUUGGCUAUUCACAUGCAGAUUUUGUGGAAGUUGCUAAUUUACUGGGGCUUUUUUUCUUAUUAUUUACCUACAGAUAACUGAGAAGAAUAAUAAUCAAUCUGAGUUCAUUCAGAUUUGUAAGUUCCUUGGGGCCCUGAACUAGUCAAUACUUUCCCUAGUCUAGAGCAGGUCCCUAUAUCACCUAAAGAGGAAUAGAUCACCUUUUCCAUUGCACAUGAGAACAUGAUCAAACAUACUAAAUGCAUAUUUUGCAUAUGCAUUUGUGUUGACCAGUGCCUCUCAUUUUCAUUUUCCUAUAAUUUUUAUCAUAGCUUUUAAUUAUUUCCUUUGGAAUUAGUGACGAAAGGGACUUACUUUUAAGGAAGUUAACUUGAUAAAACAUAUCUGCUUAAGUGGCUUUCCUGUGAUGUUUUUUUAUCCAUCAAAGAUGUUUAUUUGUGAGGUGAAAAAAAACAAACAAACUUACAUUAGGAGCUGACUGCAUGGCUGAGAUGAUUAUUAAUAGAGGGAAGUGGGUAAAAGUUUAAACAACCUGAAGACAAAAAACAAAAACAAAAUUGAGCCAGAAAGAAAGAGAACAUGUACAGCAUUUUGGAGUCUUGGCAUAUUAGAGAUGAAAGGGACCCCCAAGAAAUCAUCUGGUCUAGCUGUCUACUAAAAGUAUCAGUCAGCUCUACCUGUGACAGAUGACAGACAGCUUCAGUGUUGGGAAAUUCACUCUUUCACCUCAGUGUGUCCCAUUGUUGAUGUUCAACAUCAUAAUGCUUUCUUGACCCACCCGCAUAUCUAACAGUGCACAUAGGUAACACACUAAACUUACUCUUUUCUCUGUUUCACAUAUAAUAUGGAUUCUAAACCCUUUAUAUUUGUUCUUGAUCUACUCCAGGCCAUUGGUCUCUCUUAAAAUAUGGUGUCUACAACUAAAAGUAACAAUUUGCUGCUAUCUGCCCAGGCCAGGGUACAGAUUGCUUUUCUUAGCUUUUGUGUUAGUAUCUGACAGGAAUACAGACGUUUUGUUCAUCUCACUUUGGUGUAGAUUUUAUAGAUCAUGCAGAGGGCUUGUUUUUAAUUCAGCUGUAGAUCUCAGCUCUUCAUCUGACAUUCAUUUGGCACUAAGGGGAAAGGACACCCAUUUGUACAUUACCAUCUGGGAGAGAAGGGAUAAGUCAAAAUGCCAACCACAAUUGGCAAGGCUGCUGUGUCAGUGAGAUAAAUUUGCCCCUGAGUAAGAUCAAGAUACUCCCCUUAACUUUGAUAGGCACAAUUUGACUUGAUAACUUUUCUAACGUUUUUGUUUCAUUGAUCUCUUUUUGUUUUAGCUGCUUCGUAAGUGAGUUGGAGAAUGUAACUAAUCAAUCUCCCAGAUUCCACAGAACCAGAAACAUGCAUUCACUUUAAGAGGGAGGAUAAAGAAGAGAUGAGGAUUGUUGGUGUUCCCAACAGCAAGGGGCUAAAUGAGAGCCAGGAAGUUGGAGGUUUUUCUAAUUUCCAAGCUUCUGCCAUGUUACAGUUAACCCAGCAGUCACCAGUGACUACCUUAGCUGGGCUUACUUAAUCACAGAGAGUCACAGUCAUCUGUCUUUGAUUCCUAGUGCGGUGGUACGAAAGAUUUGCUUGGGCCAAAAGGGGACACCUGUCAGGAAGUUGGAGGAUGCUUUUUUAAAAAGUGGCUAGCAAUUUCAUAAUUUUAUUGAGAGCUGUACUAUAUGUUGACAGCUUCCAUCAUGGAGAAUAGUUGAUGUCAGAUGAGAUUUGUUUUGAAGUCCUGGCUGACAAACUAGAGAUUUCUGGAUCGUGCUUCUUUGUCUUUUCAGUAGUAUCCUCAUGGAUGUCUCCCUUAGCAUAAAAUGUCUAGGAAAAUAGGAUCAAAAAACAAACGAAGGAAGUUAAAAAAAAAAAUCAGACUUGUGUCACUACUUUCUACAAGAGAUUUGGAAAGUAAUUUUUCUAAAGGUGUAGCAUACCGGUUAAGAGUUUGGACCACUGUUAGGUUACCUGGGUUCAAAUCUUUGUUUUGCUUCAUUUACGAGACUUAGGCAGGUUACUUAAAUGCUUUCUGUAUCUUGUUUUCCCAUCUGUAAAAGGAGAUGGUAAUGGGGUUGCUAUCAGGAUUAAAUGAGUUAAUGCGAAUGCAGCUCUUAGAAUCUGUACUGAAUUGCCUGCUGAGUUUAAGGCUCUCAGUCUUCUGGACUGGAGCUUCCCCAGAAAUGUAUUUGGACUCCUUGAAAUCAGGAAGAAUGUAAAUCCCAGAAAGUAAAUAGCACUCCCCCAGUUAAAUUGUUUUUAAAAAUGUGUAAUUAUUUUUAAAAAUAUGUAAUUCCCCCCGCAUGAAUGCCACCCUUAUGUAAGUUAGAGAUUUGGAUUUCAUCUGUUAUAUUCUUUUAUAACUUAUAUUCUUUAUUAAGUAAGUAAUGGGGAAAAUCUAUUAGCAAAAAAUGUCAUCGUCAAAUACUAUUAAUAAAAUGGAAUUGAUUGUUUAAUAUAAUGUAAGACAGGUAAACACAGUAAGGGAGGAAAAAGUUUCUUCUUAACCCAGUUAGGAUCCCAGACUGGGUCUGAAAAUUAAACAGACAAAGACAGAUUAACAGGAGAAAAGCACACAAAUUUAUUUAAUAUAAAUUGUACAUGUCACAGGAGCCUUCUUAAGGAAAUGAAAGCCCAAAGAAACAGACCCACAUACUUUAUACUAGGUUUGAUAACAUCUCUAAGGAAUAUGACAGAUUAAGAAAUAUGAGGUAAUUGUAGUAAACUGGGGGAAACUUAGCAAGGCUUGUUUGCUAGAUUCUUGAUACCCCUUCUUCUUUGGAGAUGAGGAUGCUGCUUUCCUCCAGAUAGAGGGUGGGCACCUUGCACAUGAGGGGUUUAUUACAGGGAAGAACUGUGAGGAGGGGAGGUCAGAGUGACCCUCCUGUUUCUGCCAUUUUCUCAAAUUUAAAAUAUUUGUUAGGCCAUGGUGUCACGUUUUAGGGUGGCAUGACCUCAGUGACCAUGGCUUAUAAAAGGGAAAGAAAAUAAUUGUGACUUAGAGGUACUAGGUUCAUCCAUCAAUUUUAUUAAUGUAAAAAUACAAUAGAUCAGAAUUUCUGUGGCAUGUAUUUUCAUCAAGAUACCCCUGCCACACACACUCAUGUUUAUCAAACUAGUGAAAAUAGACCCUAUCUUAGCAUCAUAUGAUUUAUUGCUAAAUUUUUCUGUAUUUUUCUUUGGGUUGCCAACUGUAGCAUAAUAACAUUUCAUAGAUCUUAAAUUUUUUUUUAUAUUUUGAGAAGUUUUUCAACUCUUAAAGAAAAGAAACUGAUAUUUUAUAGGAGAAAUAAUGGGUUUCAGAACAGCAUAUUAUCCCAUUUUAAUUUAAAUAUGUGUAUUUAAUAUUUGAAUAAGAACAAGUUUGGGAGUGUCUAUAUCAAAAAUGUUAACCAGGCAUCUGUUUCUGGCUUUUAAGAUUCAAAACAGUUUCAAUUUGUCUUUUAUAUUCAUGUAUAUUUCCACAUUUUUCUGUAGUGAAGUAUUUGUCAUUAAAAGUAAAGGAUUAUCUUUUUAAAUUAUAGAUGUGACAAACUCCUGACUCGAUUGCAUGUCACUUAUGAAGGUACCAUAGAAGGAAAUGGUCAAGGCAUGCUACAGGUAGGUGAAUCACAAUGUGUGUGUGUUUGGGACUCUCUCUUAUCGAGUGAAAGCAAAGAAAAUUUGAAAACCUAUUUGUUCAUCUCCUAAACUGAUUUAUUAAUGCAAAGAAGCAUGAUAGCAGAAUGGAGAAAAACACCAAACAGAUCAUCUUGACAGCCUUGGUAAAGCUGUUAUUUGCCAGUGUAUUGUUUCUUACGUGUGCCUCUUUAAAAAGCCUUUGACAGAAAAUCUUAAGAUCUGGACAACAUCAGGCCUCUUAGUUCAGACAUUGAUUGUAGACUGACAGUGGAGGAAGUUCCCAGGGUAUGGUCUUGACAAGCCAUCACUAGGCAGUUUUGUUCUUUUUCUUUAAAGGCUGUUGCUCUGCCCCCAAAUGAUGACCAGCUUGAAAUGUUUUUCUGCCACCAACCUUGCUUAGGUCUUAGGACACAGACAUCUAAAAUUGAUUGAUAAGAAAGUCGUCUCUCCCAUAUGUAACAGUUUUAGGUACGUGAGCCAGCUAUGCUUGCUAUCUCUUCCCCAUUUCAGAGCAGGUUAUUUUGUCCAUCUCUCAGUCUUUGUUAUUUAUCUGUGUCAUUGCCUUCACUUUAAAAACAUAUAUUUUUGGAAAAAGGAGUUAACAAAGAAAACACCCUGUGUAUCUAGCUUUAAAUUGUUGUAACACUUAACACAUGUUUUCCUUUUGCUUUGUAGUGAUAGUGAUCUUUUUUCAAAAAUCACUAAUCUGAGGCAAAAUGUUGGUGAUUUGUGUUCUUGUCCCAUUUAUAAGAGCAUCACAAUGUCAGUUUUCUUUGAAAGAUGCUUAUACAUCAUUUCACUUCUACUGGGAAUUGCUGAUUUUUCUUCUUAGAUCCUUAUCUAGUCUAGAGAGUGGACUAACUUGUUUGAAUAACUUAAUGUAUACUGUAAAAUUACUAGACUGAUUUGCAUUUGCCUAGUUAUUAUAUAUUUAUACUCUAAGUGCUUAAUGAAACUGAGAUUCUUUUUUAGAAUGGCCUUUUAAAAGAUACAUUUAUAAUUAAAAUCUUCAAAGGGGCAAACCAUGUUUUGUUUUAAAUCACCAUCUCCCAGUGAUUUUUUUGAGAUUAUAAAUAGAAAUACUUAGGAUAGCUGGAGUAAUAUUUGUCUGGUACUUAAAAAAAUUUUUUUUAAUUUGUAUUUAAUCAUUACUUUUUUUGUUAAAUAAUAAUUUUGAAAUAGGCUUAAAAUUUACUUCAAAUGAAUGUUACUUUUCCCCCACAUUUACAUUUUGAUGAUGUUCUUUUCUACAUUAAAGUAAUAGAUUGACUGAGAGAGUCUUAAUACACAUGAAAUAAACAAAGCUACUGCUAGUUAGCGCUGUGGGAAUGCUGAUCUUUCAUCACAAUACAAUUCAGCAAGGAAUUAUUUAACAACAUUCAAGGUUGAGAUUCUUCCCACUUUUCUAUAAUAUAUUAUAGGUGAAAUGUGAAACCUCAGUGGAUUAAAAGAAUACCAUAAAGACUUCUAUUAAUUAUUCUCCCUACCCAUGCUAUGUAUCCCCAGGAGAUUGGAGAAAUACUGUAUUGCAAUUUAAAAAGUUCCUUGUGUAGCAUAUAAGUUACAUUAUGCUGAAUGGCAACAAGACCUCUCUAAGGAUUGUUAUCAUUUCUCUCUUUUCAUCAAGUUAUAAUUCAGAAACUGAAUAAUCUGAACAAAUAGCUUUAAAGUGAAGUGAGUUGGAAAAUGGCUAAAAAUAAGCACUCAUAUGCUUGUAUUCAUGUUCUGGAACAGGUUUCUCACCUGUAAUAGAAAGCCUAUUAAGAACUUUUUUAAGUAGUGGAAAGUUUGAUUUUUUUAAAAGACCCCUGCCUUCAGGGGCAUAUUGAGUUUAGUAUAACGUAUUUAUUUCUAUGCAUACCUUUCAAGUAAUAAAUGUUAGCCUUUUAUUCAAAGAAUGAAUAAUAGUAUGCACAUUGAAUGUAUUUCAUUUAUCAUUACCAAGUUAUACAUAAAUUAUAUAGAACUUCCUUUUUAUUUUAGUUAUGUACCUUGUUCCAGUAAAAAUUAAGUUUAGCUGAUCUCAAACUUUGUUUCUCAUUUGUAUUCACGAUACCAUUAUACUUACUUAGCUAGUCUCUUGGUUUUCAAGUGCUGUCUGUUUUAAUUUUUUGCUGGACCUCUCUUUUCUUCAGUUUCUUUCCCACUGACUUAUUUGAGGCCUAAGUAAUUCUUGUCAAACCUAUUUAGUAGUCACCUAACCAGCUUCUCUGCUUUUAAUUUUACACCUUUCCAAUUCAUUCUUUAAACUCUAGACUCAGUUUAAAGUUACAACUGGACCCUGUGUAAGGUCCAGUUGUAACUUUUCUUUUUAUAAUCAUUCCAAGAAUACCUUAUCACCAACCAUAAUCCUUCACAUACUCUACAUCGCAGAUAGGCGUGAGGAACAUGCUUAUCACUCUUCAUAGAGCUGCUUACAGCUCUGUGUUUUUCCUAUGUGUUUGUGCAGUUAUUCCCUCUGCCUGAAUGUCAGCAAAAUCUAAAUUGAAUAUCACCUCCUCUUGUAAACUCCCCUAUUCUCCUUCCCAUGCUCCAGUUUUAGUUAAUUGUAUUAUUUGGAAAGGAUCAAAUAUAUUCUAGUAGGUUCUUUAAUAAACAUUUUUUCAUUCUGCUUAUGUGCUGGGAUCUCAUCUAGAUUACAAAUGCUGUGAAGCCAGGGCCCACGUCUUACUUAUUUUUGUAUCUCAUGGUCCCCAGCACAAUAUUCAGUUAAUAUUUGUUGAAUAUUUUAAGUCAUAAAUCACCCAAUGCAUAAUGACUUUAUAUAUUGUAAAUAAUUCUAAUCAAUGGACUUGUUGAAUCAAAAUUAUUUUUCUAUAUAAGCUACAGAGUUACUCUUUUUUUAGUGUUGAUUUAGUAUGUCUGAAUAUAAACUUAUAUAUGAUUCUGUGAUAACUCAUUUCAAGAUCUUGUCCAGUCAUAUUUUUCAGUAUUUUCUAAGUUCUUUUCUAAUGAAAGAAGACUGCUUUACCUUCUAUUAGUUUCUGUCUUUCCACAUAUAUUUUUAUAUAUAAAAAAAUUGAUAUUCUUGUUUUACUCUUUUGUAGAAUAGGCUUCAAAGUAUUGUUUAAUAUUACAGUUGCUUUAGAGACAUAAGCAACUUAAAAAAAAUUUUUUUUAAUGUUUAUUCAUUUUAGAGAGGAGAGGAGGAGGGACAGAGAGAAAGGGACACACAGAAACCGAAGCAGGCUCCAGGCUGUGAGCUAUCAGCACAGAGCCCAGUGCAGGGCCCGAACUCACAAACUGUCAGAUCAUGACCUGACCCAAAGUCGGAUGCUUAACCGACUGAGCCACCCAGGUGCCCUGAGAAUACAAACAGGUUUUAAGAAAUCUUACAUUUGACAGUAGUCUGAAAGUAUAUGUAAAAUCAUAGAAAAAAAAUCUAUAUUGGUGUCUGCCCCUGAUUCUUUGCACAGAGCUCCUAAAACCCUUGUAAUUUCCUAGGUGAUGGGACUGUCUUUUGUUCUGAUGAGGUGACUUUUGGUGAGCUCCUGGAGAGCUUUAGGGUGGGGGCUGGUUACCAAAAAGACUAAGCCAUGAUUAGAAGCUUGAAACUUUCUACUCUACUCCCCAUCUUCUGGGAAAAGGAGAGGGACUGGAGACUGUGCUAAUGAUUGAUCAUGCCUAAGUGAUGAAGCUUCCACCAAACUACCCAAAAGUAUGGGAUUCAAAGAGCUUCCAGGUUGGUGAACAUGUGGAAGUUGGUGAACAUGGGGAGAGGGAGAGGUAGCUCUGUGCCUCUUACCGUAUACCACGCCCUAUCACUUCAUAUGUCUAUUCAUCUCUAUCCAUUAUUAUAUCCUUUUUAAUAAAUGAGUAAACAUAAGUAAGUGUUACCGUGGGUUCUGUGAGUUUAUCAAACCACAAGAGCAGAUUAUGAGAACCCCAAUUUAUAGCCGAUCAACUGUACUUCUAGUUGCAGUUGGUGUCUGAAGUGGGGCAGUCUUGUGGGACUGAAUUGUUACUAGCCUGUUGGAUCUGAUGCUAACUCCUGGUAGAUGGUGUCAGAACUGAAUUGAAUUGUAGGACACCCAGCUGGUGUUUCAGAAUUGCUCUAUGUGUGGAAAUCCAUACAUCUGACAUCAGAAGUGUUGUGAGUGUGGUAGUACUGUAGGAGUAGAGGAAAGAGAGUAUGUUUUCUCUGUACAGUAUUUAAGCCUCUCUUACCUUACUAAAAUCUUUGUGGGUGUGGGUGGCUAUGUAUGUACACAAGGUGUUAUGUAUGUGUGUAAUCUAAAUCCUCAAAUAGAGUAAUCUAAAAGUUGGAAACCAUUUCUUACAUACUGCCCCAUAGAGCUUUGCAUAAUGUUGGACACGCUGGAGUGCUUAGUAAGUUUAAGACAAAUCAUACUGACAGGUAGAAUUUGCUUUGUCUAGAGCAUUGUGUAACUCAUCUUUAUUAAUAGGAGCUUGGUGAUCCCAUUAUAGUACUCCACAGAAAGCUUAUGAGUAAUUUUAAACUAAAUUGGAAAUAUUAAUUUAGUUGAAUCUUUUUUUUUUUUUGUUUUAAUGUUUAUUUUUGAGAGAGGGGUCAGAGUGUGAGCAGGGGAGGGUCAGAGAGAGAGAGANAGACAGACAGACAGACAGACAGAAUCCGAAGCAGACUCCAGGCUUCAAGCUGUCAGCACAGAGCCUGACACAGGGCUCGAACUCAUGAACCAUGAGAUCAUGACCUGAGCUGAAGUCUGAUGCUCAAUCGGCUGAGCCACCCAGGUGCCCCCUUUGGGUUUUUCUUUUAACUUUUUUUUUUUAAUUCCAGUUAGUUAGCAUACAGUGAUNNNNNNNNNNNNNNNNNNNNNNNNNNNNNNNNNNNNNNNNNNNNNNNNNNNNNNNNNNNNNNNNNNNNNNNNNNNNNNNNNNNNNNNNNNNNNNNNNNNNNNNNNNNNNNNNGCCUAUCUACCCUCUGGUAACCCUCUGUUUGCCCUCUAUAGUUAAGAGUCUGUUUCUUGGUUUGCCUCUGUUUCUCCCUCCCCUGUGAUUGUUUAUUUUGUAUCUUAAACUCCAAAUAUGAGUGAAAUCAUAUGGUAUGUGUCUUUCUCUGACUGACUUAUUUCACUUAGCAUAAUACUCUCUGACUCCAUUCUCAUCAUUGCAAAAGGCAAGAUUUCAUACUAUUUUAUGGCUGAGUAAUAUUCUAUUCUAUUGUGUGUGUGUGUGUGUGUGUGUGUGUGUGUGUAUGUAUAUAUAUAUACAUGAAACAUCUUCUUUAUCCAUCAGUCAAUGGACAUUUGGGCUCUUUCCAUAAACGUGCACCCCAAUGUUUAUAGCAGCAUUAUCAACAAUAGCCAAUUUUAUGAGUCUUUGUUGUUAAACUAGGUUUCCUGUUUUCUUUUUUUUUCUCCUUAGGUAUAGUAAAAAUAAACAGUUUGUAAUGUUCAUGUAGUUUGGGCUUUGCAACUGAAUUUAGGGUGAAAUUUUAUCUCUUUAUUCUUUCACAGAAGAAAAAGGUUAUCCAAAAAAGGGCAAUUACUUAAAAAAAAAGGGCAAUUACUAAAUUUUUCAGUUCUUUAAGGACAAAUGUUUGAUUGCCAUAGUAUAUAAGAAAGAUAUAAUUAUAUUAGAGUCAUAUGAAAUCCAUAAAUGGAAAUUGAGUAGUGAAUGGUAGGGAAAUGAUCUUGAAACCUUUCCAGAUAAAGUUUCCUUUGAUUUGUGGCCCUUGUAGUACAUAUAAGGUUUGUAAAUAACAGUCUAUAUGAUUACACUGAGGCUUUUGCCUAAAAGCUCCAUUUUCCAGGUUCCUUCUAAGGUUUUGGAAUCUAAAGAAGUAUGCAAAGAUGUUACCUGGAGUGAGAUGGGAAGAGUGCAGUCAACCACAGUCUGUUCUCCGUUGGAAGAUUACUAAUUUGGGGAUUGAUUUAUAUGGGAAACGAAAGGAAGAGAGAAAGUGCUUCUUUAUCAUAUAUGUAGGUAUUUUAGAUAAUCAUUUAACAUGCCACAUUUUCCCUAAUAGGUGGAUUUUGCAAACCGUUUUGUUGGAGGUGGUGUAACCGGUGCAGGACUUGUGCAAGAAGAAAUCCGCUUUUUAAUUAACCCCGAGUUAAUUGUUUCACGGCUCUUCACUGAGGUGCUGGAUCACAAUGAAUGUCUUAUCAUUACAGGUUAGUUUUGG